rnacentral:rRNA from 1 species
UACGUAGGCAGCGAGCGUUGUUCGGAAUUACUGGGCGUAAAGAGUGUGUAGGCGGUGCUCUAAGUUCGGUGUGAAAUCCCCGGGCUUAACCUGGGAAUGGCAUUUGGGGACUGCAAGGCUUGAGUGCGGCAGAGGGAGACUGGAAUUCCUGGUGUAGCAGUGAAAUGCGUAGAUAUCAGGAGGAACACCGAUGGCGAAGGCAGGUCUCUGGGCUGACACUGACGCUCAUGCACGAAAGCGUGGGGAGCAAACAGGAUAGAA